AGCAGCCGCGGUAAUUCCAGCUCCAAUAGCGUAUAUUAAAGUUGUUGCAGUUAAAAAAGUUCGUAGUUGAAUUUCGGGGUUAGUAGGCUGGUUAUAAACUGAACUCUUUCGGGUUAUGUACUGGUCUUACUAAUUCCUCCUUCCUGAUGAACUGUAGUGCCAUUAAUUUGGUGUUGCAGGGAAUCUGGACUGUUACUUUGAAAAAAUUAGAGUGUUUAAAGCAGGCUAACGCUUGAAUACAUUAGCAUGGAAUAAUGAAAUAGGACGUUGAUCUUAUUUUGUUGGUUUCUAGGAUUGACGUAAUGAUUAAUAGGGAUAGUUGGGGGCAUUAGUAUUCAAUUGUCAGAGGUGAAAUUCUUGGAUUUAUUGAAGACUAACUACUGCGAAAGCAUUUGCCAAGGAUGUUUCAUUAAUCAAGAACGAAAGUUAGGGAUCGAAGACGAUCAGAUACCGUCGUAGUCUUAACCAUAAACUAUGCCGACUAGGGAUCGGAUGAUGUUAAUUUUUAAUGUACUCAUUCGGCG
rnacentral:rRNA from 1 species